AAAAAUCUUUCUGUGGCUGAUUCGGGUUCAUAUUGGUGCCAGGCUGAAAAUAUCCUUGGAACUGUUCAACGUCAGACUUCGCUUAAAGUGACUACAAGGCCCAUUACACCAUCUCCUUCAGGUUCUACUGUUAGCCUGACAUCCAUCAGUUUUGAAAGUGAAGCAGUUACGCAGACGUCAAUGGGUUGGACUGAUAGAAUAAGGUACCCGGUGGCUGUAAUCGCAGUUCCAGUGGGUGUGGUCGUCCUCUUGAUCAUAGCUUCCGGUCUCUUUUAUUGGCAGGUGAAGAAAGGCCGAGCGAGCUCGUCCGCGACGAUGAAAAGCCGACACAACAUCGGUUCACUUCAAGCGAAGUACGUAGUCCAGUCAAAUGAGUACGUAAUAGUGCCAGACCUAAAAGGACUUGGGAAUGAUUUUGGCACCAACUGAUUGUAGAU